rnacentral:lncRNA from 1 species
GUACCGGGUUCAUCUCACUAGGGAGUGCCAGACAGUGGGCGCACGCAGGAUACUCAAACUUGAAACCAACCUACCUUAUCGUGAGGAAGCCUGGUUCAAAUGGAGAGGCCAAUGUAGGUGUACAACAGACAGUCCCAGCUGAAAGGCCCAGCUUGCACACAACAUCACUGCCAGACGAAUGAGAAGGGCCUUAUGAUGAUUCCAGCAUCAGACAUUUGACUUGGCCCAGCUUUUGCUGAACUGCAUCUUAUUUUGGUUCUUUGAUUGGGAAGACAUUGCUUGUGGCUUGGUUGCUGUGGGCCAGAAGUCCCAGAAGUGCUCCUAAGCAGUUGCCCACCCAAUUUCGGCUGGAGGUGAGUUUCUGUCUCUCUCUGGCCCCACAAGCGCUGACCCUAACCACGUUCCUGAUUGCCUUGGAUGAACUGACUUUGAAAUUUGACAUCUGCAUCCCAAUAGGUGAGUGUCUUUUGUGGGUCCGGACAGCAGGAUAUACUCCUCCCUAUUAAUUUUUAAAGGAAUUUCCAUUUGCAAAACAAGCCCAACUAAUUGAGAGAGGAGAACAACCUGUUUUAGUGUGGACAGUCUUGGGGGUUUUCUGUAAUUGUGUGUUGUGUCUGGGCAAGUGAGUUUCUUUUAUGGGUACCAGACAACAGGGUCAGCUCUUCUCAAUAUAGGAAAUUCCUAAGGAAUUUUUGUUUGCACUUGAUCAAGCCCAGCUGAUAGAGAGAGGAAGCACCCUGUUUCAGUUUGGACACUCUUGGGGCUUCUUUGUUGCUGCAGCAGUAGGAUUGUGUUUUGGUGAUUGUGUGUGUGUUUGCUAUAUUAUAGUCAUGAGGAAUUAGAAUUCAGUAAACUUGAUAUUCUUUUGCAACACUGUUUGCCCCAAUAUUGCUUGGAAUCUGGAGUUUGCUGUUUAAUAGGAAAGUGGGAUGGAGUUGCAUGUAUUCAGGCUUUUGCACUGCUUUUUAAAGCAGGGUUGGGCCUGGGUUGUAUGUGAUGUUCUCCUUUGGUACUGUUUGGCCUCACUGUUCUAUGGAAUCUGGGGAAGUUUGGCCUUUAAAAAUGAAACUGCCAUGAAAACUGCUUUACACAAAGUUUUGAUUCACAGUGUUCAUUGGAUUACCUAAUCCAGUGAAUCAUUUGGCAAACAAAGUGUAACCAUGUUAAACCGUGAGUUUGUAUUGCUAUCUCAUGGAUAAAGUUCCAAGGGCUUGGACUCUUGGGUCUGAAGGAGGCACAAACCCCAGCUAAAUUUUGAACAUUGACACAAGUUGAAGCCUCAUCUUCAGACUUGGGAGAAGGUGACACUCAAAAUGAACUGGUUUUGUGAGACAGAAGGCUAGAAAUCAAAACAAUUCAAUCUCUCUAGGCCUGGGGACUAUUGCAGAAGAGGUGGGCAUGUGAGAUUGUAAGGGCUAAUUUUGAAGGACAAGAUUAUUUCAGAGAAUUUGUGUAAGUUAAACAUUAAUAUAAAAAGCCCACUGAUUCAAGGCCAGUGUCUGGGCCCAAGUGUUGGAAUAACUGGGUUUUCUUGGAGCCUAGAUCUACCCAUAAAUAGAAAAUUAGAAAAGAUUAUUAAAGAAAUUAUGGAAAUCUUACUUUAUGAUCAAACUGAUUAAAAGUAGACAGAUUUGUUUAUAAGAUU